ACAUCCUGUCGGAGAUGCACAUAGGUGAAAAAUCCGUUUCUAUGUUUCGGAGCCCAGAAGCUGCUUUGCAUAUCUUACGAGCCUCCUCUUUGCUUGUUCCUUUUCUUCCAGUGUUGGGGGAGCCGGGUCAUAUGUCCUGUGGACCGUCCCACGUUCUGGACUUGGCCCAAUGCACCCUCGCGGUGUCCAUUCACUGGCGACUUUAUCCUCCUGUUUUUCUGAAAACCGGCGAUCACACCGAGAGGCUUGAUCCGAUUCAGAUUUUUUUAAAGCUGUGUGACCUUGAGCGAGUUACUUCACGUCUCGGGGCCUUGGAAUCUCCGCCUGCACCACAGGGCCGCUGAGCGCACCGACCUCACCCGGUGGCGAAGAUAGAAGGAGGUUAGCAGACCACGUAAAUGCUGCGGUUGGGGCCCAAAUAAAGAAACCCAGGAGGACCCUGGCAGGGCUGAGUCCGGACGAGCCAGGCCGGGCUGGACUCAGCCGGCCUCCUCCCGAGGGGCCUCCCGGGCCAGCGUCCCAGCAGUCACGUGGGGUGGGAGGUGGGGCGCCGGGCACACCUGGCUCCCUAAACCCCGCCACCCCCCCCCCUACGGCUCGGGGAGGCCAGGUAGAGCCUGGGCGGGGUUUUCCGGACCCGGGUGCUGGAAGGUUCAGACUUCUGAGUGAAGGGUCGAUCUCCGACGAGGGAGCACCCGAUCUGCUCGCGGAGCAGCCCCGUCGUCGGCCCCCGGAUUCCUGCGGCGGAACCAGCCCCAGGCCACCAGCUCCCUCCCUCCCGUCACCAGUUUCCUGGAGCUUACCUAAGAAUCACCGUGCGGGGCAGGGCCUGCUGUGCGAGAGUUUCCUGUUCGCCUCUCCCCGCCACCCCCCACCUCCACCUCCUGCGACCUCGGGGUCGCAGGACCCACCCACAGGACCCAGGGGUCCUCAGGGUCCCCGAGGCUGCUGCCACCCGCACCUCCAGGCCCACCGUGGCCCCAGGGAUCCCUGGCCCCCGAGCCACUCCCCCCCCCUCCAUUCCAGUCCUGGGAAUCAAGUCGAGGACUUCCAGGUGGUGGCCUCACAUUUGUGCCCCAAGCUCUUCCCCAAAGGCGUGCUUACAGUGCGAAUUUCGGGGGUGGGGUGGGGGUGGGGGGAGACGGGGUUAUUUCUUGGUGGCGAAGCCUGGCUGGGUGGAGGUGGAAAGCCCUGGGAGGGCGGUGAGCUGGGGAGGUGCAAGGCCAGCUCUGGGUGUGGGGACAGAUGGGGGGAGGCUUGGCACCAGGGGCCAGGCUCCAGAGGGGAGAGGACGCAGUGGGCCAGGCUUAGUCUGGGGUGAGAGAGCCAGAGAGAGCGCUUAAAAGGCCUUCUGGACAGAUAGCAGUGGCCCCAUUUUCCCGAGGGACCCGCAGGCUGGGCUCCUCCUUCGAAGUUGGGGCUCCUUCUGUUCUCCAAUCCUCCUGCCGCCAAACGGACGCAGGAAGGACUCUUGACCUUUCCUCUUGCCCCUCCCUCCUUGGAUGAUGGCCUGAAGGGCCUGAUGCCGGUACAGGGACUGAGGACAGACACAGGGACUGAGGACAGACCCAGAGAUGGACUUUCCGAUCCCCCUGGGAUCCCACUUUCCAGAAGCUGGCUGCUGGCAUUCCCCAAACUCUCCCCACAGAUGUCAGAGGGGCCAGCUGCUCUCCCUGUCUCCCUGUGCCCAGCUCCCCGUCCCAGCCCUGGCCCUGGCUUGUCCCCCAGGCCCUUCUCUGGCUAGUUUCUUUCUGAGCCUC